GGGAUAAGAGCCAAAUAUUAGCGAACGGGACUAAUGCAGAUUAGGAUGUCUGGUUGGCGCGAACGAGUUGGACCGAAAGCUCAUGACCUCCAUGGCGAACGCACUCGCGCGGCAAUUAAAAUACGACAGAAUGUGUGUUAGUUGAGCUGGGCCGUGGCCGGGAGUCGCACAGCUCUGGAGCCGCUCUGCACCCGCAGGAAUGCGGUUGUCUAUGAUCUCAACUGCCGCCCUCUCGGCUCCUGUCUGCCAUUCAAAGCUGCUAAUUGUGGGCAACACAAAGAGAAAGCAAGUCUGCGGGAAGUCUGCGAGCCAGACUGGAAGAGAGCUCAGCUACCAGAAACACGAACGCAACCCAACUCCCAAACACAUUCUGCAGCCAAGAGCCCAUCGUCUAGUACCCACGGGCAAGGCGAACGGUUUUGCACAUUAUUCCCCUUUGCUGCGUUCAUAUAAACUGAAUUUAUACUCUCUGCUUAUCAUCGUGGUCACUGAGAUAUCGGAAACCUCCAUAACUUAAUCGGAAAAUACACGUCGGCAGCUAAAUUCAGUCAGAUCCUAACUAUUCGAACGAUUGCGCCAACUUUCCAUGACUGCAAUGAAAAUAAAUACCGUGAGUGCAAAGUCAGGUUUUGAGUAAAUUUCAAUUCUCUGCGCCUUCUGCUACUUGCAUUUCAUUAUUUAAUUCCACCUCUUAAUUAUACAAUUCAAACAAUAAGCUUGCUAAUAAAAGCAAAC